rnacentral:lncRNA from 1 species
UGUGUCAUGCAAGAAGGAGGCGGCGGCGGCGGCCGGAGCUGGAGGGGGAGGAGGGGAGGAACCUGAUCCUCGGUAGCGAAGGGCUGGAGGCAAACACCGAGCUCCCCCUGAGCCGCCUGGGAGCAGGGAGGGUUCUGCUACCCUGAGGGGCCCUCCCCGCGGGGCAGAGGGGUUUCCUCAGCAGUGCCCCGGAGCAGGGACCGCGCCAGCCAGCAGAAACAGCUAGUUGUUGUCUGCAGUGAAGAAUAAUUGGAAGCAUGGUGCCUGUUUCUUUUCCUGUGGGAGGAAGUCACAGCAUCUACUUCUGAAUCUGUGCUUGCCUUGAGGAAAAACGGCAUGGCACAGGAAUGUGGACGCUUUCAACCAGAGGAUUCUGUACGACGGUGUCGGCACACAAGGAGCCAAGAAUAGGACAGCUUGGGAAGGUGAGCUGCGUAUAGCUCGUCAGGCUGAGCUCAUCCUCGUCUACGGCCAAACGUUGGUUUCUCAUUUCUAGAAGAUGAAAGAUGUGAUGACUCAGGAAAAACUUGCUGCUCGAGAUGUGAGUCUUCAGAUGUUCCUGCCGCCAUAUCUGACAGCUGCUGCCAAGAUUCCCUGGUGGGAUGGACUCUUAUACCUCAACAACCAGAAGCCCAAGUAAACUCUUCUAUAAAUUGAAUGACUCAUGCUUAAAAAAAAAAACAAAAAACAAACUA